GAGAAGGACAAAAAGAAGAGAAAGAAAAAGGAAGAGGAAAAGGGAGAUGGGGAUGAAGACAGGAGGAGCAGCAGCAGUUCUGACAGUGACUCGGAGGAGGACCACGGCAGUGGCAAGGAUGAGAAGGAAGACAAAGAUUAACCUUUCCAUGCUGGAGCGGCAGUGCGCGUCCUGGGCACACCGAGGAGGUGGGGAUGCAAAUGGCACCUUGUGCUGGAGGGGCCCUGGGCCACUUUUAGCCAAAUAAAGGUGUUGGUGGACUCCAAA